GUGAUUGCUUCAGCAGCACAUAUACUAAAAUUGGAACGAUGCUCAGAAGAUUAGCAUGGCCCCUGCACAAGGAUAACAUGCAAGUUUGUGAAGUGGUCCAUAUUUUU